CCCCCCCCCCCCACCCCGCCCCACUCCCCAUGUGUUGAUGUGAUGUCUGAAAACGUUGCAACCAAUAAUUCAUCAGAUUUUCAUAUACAUUGUACAAUAAAUCUCUAUUUUGUCAAUCUUUUCAAGUGUAAUAUUUCAGAGAUGACUUUGUUUUUGUUAUACAUCAUUUUAUGUUGGCAGUUUCAGUUUCAAGUCUUCAAAGUUUUUUAAGGGUUUUUUUUGUUGUUUUUUUUUUUUAGUUUGUUUUUGUUUGUCUGUGUUUAUUUUAGUAGAUGAACCUUGUUACAUUCCUUGUUCUUGAAAAUAGAUCAGUUAGUUGAAUACUAUUCUACUAGAGUUUGUUUUUGGGUU